rnacentral:rRNA from 1 species
UACGUAGGGUGCAAGCGUUGUCCGGAAUUAUUGGGCGUAAAGAGCUCGUAGGUGGCCUGUCGCGUCGGCUGUGAAAACUCGGGGCUCAACUCCGAGCUUGCAGUCGAUACGGGCAGGCUAGAGUUCGGCAGGGGAGACUGGAAUUCCUGGUGUAGCGGUGAAAUGCGCAGAUAUCAGGAGGAACACCGGUGGCGAAGGCGGUCUCUGGGCCGUGAUACUGACGCUGAGGAGCGAAAGCGUGGGGAGCGAACAGG